ensembl:lncRNA
AUCUCUUGCUGGAGAUCCCUGCCUACGUGAUGCCUUCUAAAGCUUGAAAAGGUUUUGCUUGCUUUCAAUGAGACUGAUGAGAUAAGUAGGACCAGAGCUUUUACUGAAUUGGAAAUCCAAAUGAGUGCCUGUCAGAACGGGACCCUCUACAUUUGAGCAGAAGUCAGCCUUUCAGCCAGCAGCACUCAGCCUCCUGGGCCACCUCGCAGAGGAACACUGAAUUCCCUCACACCCUCCUGGGCAGCACAACUAAUCGUUUUUGCAAUUUCUCAUAACAUUUCUGGAAUUCUUCAGAAGAGUCAUCAGUCUUUCACUUCUGCUCUACAUAAUUAAACUUCCUCGAGCCUGAAUUCCUUCAGUGUAGCACUUUCUGUUGACUUUUAGGUGUAUGUGUCUGAAAACAACACACUGAGUCCUUAGGUUUUGAGUUUUCACUGUACUACAGUGGGGUGAUGCACCUUAAAAACAGUCAGAACGUAUGUCUGUUCUCCAACAGUGAGGGUUGCAUCUUAAGUAAAUGCUUAGUCCAUCCUGGUCAAAAUAGGUCUUUGUCAUACAUUUGAUGCUGCUUUCAGAAUCAGGAAAAAAUGGUGAUGGUGCAGAAUCUGUCAGGUGCUCUGUUAAGACUAUGGCAUGUACCUUUGUGUCUGCUGUGUUAUUUCUCUCCUGUCUCCCAUUGUAUGCCUUAUUCACCCAGGCUCUGUUUAUCACUGUUAGGGCACGCCUUUUCUGACAGAUAAAUACACAGCAGGUAAAAGAUGGACCACAGAAAUAGAUGCUCUCAAACAUUAAAAAAAGCCACUGUUUACAGAUGAUAGUAGAUGGAUGCUCUCUGUUCAUUAUAUUGCAUUUAGUGCCUCAACUUGUUGUAAGCUCAACAACUUUCUCACAAGGAACCCUUCAUUUUUAUGUUUUCUUCCGUUUUUGUGCUUUGAAGGUGGUAUUGGAACAGUUAUUCCUUUACAAAGCAACAUUACAUUCCUUUGUAGUGAAGGCAAUUAAAGCUUAGUUCUGACCUGAGCUUUCCUUAGAUAUGUCAAUUAUUCCAGAGUUCAUACAGCUUUGGUGAAUGGAGGUAUCUAACUUAAGUGGCUAUGCUGUGUAUUUAUAAAAGAGCCUGCAUUACCCAAACCUGCUAAUUUAAAGAAAAAUCUUAGACUAUCAUAUUUGACUGUGCUAGUUCUACUGGCAGGCAGGUUGUGUAGUGUGUAUUUAUUCACAAACUGCCUUUAUUUCUUUUAACUUCAGUGGCACUAAAAGGCAAUUCUGGAAAGGUGACCUAAUGGGCUGGUCUGGUGGGUACAGUGGGGAGGAGGAAAAGGAAGGUGACAAUGACUUGGCCUGAGUUCCUGCACUGUAAGCAGCAGCAGCACUCCCGCUACGAUUCUAUUGGAGAUGCUCAGGAGAAAUGAGCAGUAUAUGUGGUUCCACAUUAUCAUCAUUGUCCAGCUAGCAGGGGAGGAGGAAAGGGAAUGGGUGUGUAAGGGGGAAUUCAUUUGCACAUCUACUCAAAAUGCUUUGUGCUGAGGUAAAGAUGAUGUGGAGGACACGAGCUGCUGCUGCAUACAGAUAUGUUUGUUUAGUUAAUUGAGUUGUCAUGGCAACUACUUCAUCUUAACUGCCACAGUGUAUAGCUUGUCACUGGCACCUGAUGACUCUAAACAAACCAUUAUACGUCCAACAAAAUCGGCAAACUCUGCUUGGCUGGGUUACAAUUUAAAGAGU